rnacentral:rRNA from 1 species
UCCAUAGUCAUAUCACCUUCCAGCCCAAGUCCGGUUACUUACUGAAGCUAAGCAGGGCUGAGCCUGGUGCAUCCCUGGAUGGGAGACCACAAUGGAAAACUAGGUUGCUGUUAGAA